UGGGGAAUAUUGCACAAUGGGCGCAAGCCUGAUGCAGCCAUGCCGCGUGUAUGAAGAAGGCCUUCGGGUUGUAAAGUACUUUCAGCGGGGAGGAAGGCGAUAAGGUUAAUAACCUUGUCGAUUGACGUUACCCGCAGAAGAAGCACCGGCUAACUCCGUGCCAGCAGCCGCGGUAAUACGGAGGGUGCAAGCGUUAAUCGGAAUUACUGGGCGUAAAGCGCACGCAGGCGGUCUGUCAAGUCGGAUGUGAAAGCCCCGGGCUCAACCUGGGAACUGCAUUCGAAACUGGCAGGCUAGAGUCUUGUAGAGGGGGGUAGAAUUCCAGGUGUAGCGGUGAAAUGCGUAGAGAUCUGGAGGAAUACCGGUGGCGUAGGCGGCCCCCUGGACAAAGACUGACGCUCAGGUGCGAAAGCGUGGGGAGCAAACA
rnacentral:rRNA from 1 species